rnacentral:rRNA from 1 species
GUCAGCAGCUAUCAACCUGUAGCUGUUAUCUGCACACCCACUGAAGCUAAGCAGGGAUGAGUCUGAUCAGUAUUGGGAUGGGAGACCUACUGGGAAAUCUGAUGUUGCUGCUG